UCCCUGGCAGUCCAGUGAUUAGAACUCCACACUUCCACUGCUGGAGGCCUAGGUUUGAUCCCUAGUUGGGGAA
rnacentral:tRNA from 1 species